GUUGGAAUAGUCCAUGGCAGAGCGGCGCAUUCGUAAUGCGUAGGUCGUAGGUUCGAUUCCUAUUUCCGGUACCA
rnacentral:tRNA from 1 species